rnacentral:rRNA from 1 species
UACGGAGGAUGCAAGCGUUAUCCGGAAUUAUUGGGAGUAAAGAGCUCGUAGGCGGUCUGUCACGUCGGCUGUGAAAUCCCGAGGCUCAACCUCGGGUCUGCAGUCGAUACGGGCAAACUAGAGUAUUGCAGGGGAGACUGGAAUUCCUGGUGUAGAGGUGAAAUGCGCAGAUAUCAGGAGGAACACCGGUGGCGAAGGCGGGUCUCUGGGCAAUAACUGACGCUGAGGAGCGAAAGCGUGGGGAGCGAACAGG